GGUGUUUUGUUUUUUUUUUCCCCUCUAUAGAGUUCCAUUCUGAUCAAUGGACAAGGGGACUAACCUGUCAAAAAUGGCUGAUAUAACCAAGAUAGAAGAACAGGAAGCAGAGAAGAGUUUGGAUGAAGAAGUGGAGAAAACACCUCGUACUUUAGAGGCAGAUUCAGGUAUUGGUUGGGAAGGUGAUAGUUCAACUUCAGGUACAGUGCUCUCCACCGAAAAUGAAAAAGAAGUUGGUAGUGUUAAUCAGGACGGCAGAGCACGAAGGAAGAACUUAGAUUCUGAAGAUGAACCUCCUAAGAAAGUACGUGAGAUAGGCCAUGGGCAAGCUGUAGCUGCACAUUAUAAUGAACUUCAAGAAGUUGGAUUGGAAAAACGUAGCCAGUCUCGCAUAUUCUACCUCCGAAACUUUAAUAAUUGGACAAAGAGCGUCCUCAUUGGUGAAUUUAUAGACCGGGUACGACGGAAAAAGAAUGAUAUAACUGUUUUGGAUCUAGGAUGUGGCAAAGGUGGAGACUUACUGAAAUGGAAAAAAGGCAGAAUUAAAAAACUUGUCUGUACCGCUAUUGCUGACAUUUCUGUGCAACAGUGCAAGCAGCGAUACGAAGACAUGAAAGCCCGAUGUCGUUACAAUGAACAUAUUUUUGAUGCAGAAUUUAUACAAGCAGAUAGCACCAAGGAUCUCUUGUCUUCCAAAUACAAUGAUCCAGAUAUGCGCUUUGACAUUUGCAGCUGUCAAUUUGUUUACCAUUACUCAUUUGAGACAUAUGAACAGGCUGACAUGAUGCUUAAAAACGCUUGUGGGAACCUCUCUCCUGGAGGGUAUUUCAUUGGCACAACUCCAAAUAGCUUUGAACUUGUGAAGCGACUUGAAGCUUCAGAAACAAAUUCAUUUGGGAAUGAGGUGUACAGUGUAAAAUUUGAAAAGAAGGGAGAAUAUCCCUUGUUUGGCUGCAAGUAUGAUUUCCACUUGGAAGAAGUGGUUGAUGUCCCUGAGUUCUUGGUUUACUUUCCAUUACUGGAAGAAAUGGCAAAGAAGCAUGGUAUGAAAUUAGUCUACAAAAUGACAUUUCGGGAAUUCUAUGAAGAAAAAAUCAAGAACGAGGAGCAUAAAAUGCUGUUAAGGAGAAUGCAGGCCUUGGAGCCAUAUUCUACAUUUGGUGAUUCCAGGCUUGUUUCCGAUAAACCUGAUGAUUAUGAGCACGCAAAAGAGUUCAUCAAAGAUGGCAAGGCAAAGUUACCACUGGGAACCUUGAGUAAAUCUGAAUGGGAAGCAACAAGUAUUUACUUGGUAUUUGCAUUUGAGAAGCAACUGUGAAACUUCACGUACUGGAUGCAGCAAGAAGAGAUCAUAUCCAUGUGCAAGUUGGAAUGCGCUCCAGUCAUGCCAGUCACCCCACCGUGUCUCUGUGAUCCCAGCAAGAUCAUAGCCCUGCAACAGCAACUGCAUAGCCCUGCAACAUUUUCUGAUACAGUAUGUAUCCUCCCAGUAGAACUGGAUGGCUUCAGAGAAGCAACUAAAGGAGUGCAGAGCAUUAAGGCCCUCAGGAUUGCUGCUGAAAAAGUGAAGACGGGAGUGCCAAGGUCAUCUGAGCUGGGUGAUUUUUUGCGACAGAAGGAGUUUUGGCAAUGCCUUGAAUUAAGAAAGGAUGGAGGAGUGAUACAUGAAGGGUGCUACACCAAUUAAGUGGUUCAAUUUUCAAAUUCACUUUACACAAUCAAGGAAUUCAGAUUAGAAAUGGCAACGCAACUUUGUAGUUCAGUUUAUCCUCUCUCACCUAGGUGUUGAGACAUACGAGUUGGCAACAGGAGCUAGACGAGGUGCAACCUUUUCCUCUAGUUCCUUCUGUGAUGGCAGGCAGUUGAGAACUGUGGUAGAACCCAGUUGCUCAGCACGUAGUUGUUGUGGAGAGCCAGCACAGCUGAAAAAACUGUUUUGCAUUUAUGUUAAAUAGAUUCCUUGCCUCAGGAAACACCUUGGUUCACCAUGAAAGUGGAUGUAUGAAAAUCCCGUUUUAACUAAUUGUUUAAUAUGUUCAAAAGUAUAAUGCUUUAUAUGUAUAAUUUUGUGUCGAUAAAGAGUCAAGUCAAAAACCAGCCCUUUCUAUUUAAGAUGGAUUCAGUGCUCAUGAAAGAUGAUUUGCCGAGGUAAGGAUGGAAGACUUGUUCAAAACAAAGGUACUUGGCUGCCAGUGGCGAUUUGUCCUAACUUUUUUUCUCCCAUCUUUCUUCGCUUUUGAAAGCAGCAGCUAUGUAUUUUGCUUCCUUGUCCUGUAGCUGAGGUUAUGAGGCAACGAAGUUGCCCAAGCACUGUUAGUAUAGGUAGUUGUUCCUUGUGGGGUUUAGGAUAUUCUGCAGCCUUACAGCAAAAAUAACAAAAUGAAAUAUUGUAUUUGUGCAGGAAAUAUGUCAUGCUUCAGUAGGUUACUGUUGUAUUAGUGCUAUAUUGUAUGAGUUUCCUUUUGUGACUUACACACCAGUGCGGUAGAAAUUGCUGCAAAGCACUUAAGCAUGUGCUGUGUUUUGUGCUUAAGUUUUAAGCAAAUGCUUAAGGAGGCAUGUAGAAUGUAUUUGACUGACUUAAGAAGCUAGACUUGCUGCAAAUCUUACACGUACUCCUGUUGCAACAUUUGAAUAGUUUAAUUUACAUAAUGAACAUCUCAGUCCUUUGACUAAAAGUGUUUUCCUUUUGAGUCAUGGUCUAUUUAAUAAAGCACUCUCUCUUCUAAUAUCUAUUUUUAUUAAAAAAAGUAAUUAUAUGCUGUAGUCUGGUUGCUAAACUUUUUGUAAAGACUUUGAAAAUGGUUAAUUUAGGGAACAUUAAGCUGGGUAGCAAUAAAUUUAAAACAUCUGCAGAGUAAUCAAGGAGCUGAUAAUAAAUCCACUUUUGCAAUCCACUUAUUGCCAAAGUAAUAAUGCUUCUGGGGGGAGAAAUGGCUUGUCUAAUAUCAAGCAGGAUUAGCAGUAGUCUUGUAAUCUCAGUCCCCAGUGUUCCUUGUAUGCUACAAAUGAGAGCCUCUGUAUGGAAGUGAGGGAACGACAUCUGUAUUGUUGCUCAUGAAUGCAAAUAAGCGUCCUGAUUUUUCAGAAGUGUGAAGCACAAAAAUCAGGUCAUUUAAGUGCCAAAAGACACGGAGACAAGCGUUUGAGUGGGUUUUGAACAAGAAACCUCAUUUGAGAUUUAAAGAAAAAAGUCUGAAAUCUGAAUCCUUGUGCCGAUGACAUUAUGAAUACUGUGUACUGAACUAAAACCUGUUAAUAUAGUUAAUUUUUUGCAGCUUCAAUGUGUAGCAUUUUACAUAGAUGUGCUGAUGCUGGUGAAAUGGCUUUCCCUUAACCUCCCUUAUAGCAUACCUCUUUCAUACAUCACCAUCAUAGAUUUAUGUACUGCCUUGAAUGUUUCUGUUACUUCGAGAACAGAUGUAAGGCAGAACAAAGCUAACUUGAUAAAUCAGGUUUUGAUAAGUUAAAGGUUUUCCGAUGGUGCAUAAAUGCCGUUUUGAUGGAAGCUGUCAUCCUUUCUUCAUUUUAUUAAAGC